AUUUUUUAUUUAAUUUAUUAAUUAUUUAAUUGUUUUACUUUUUAAUUAGGUUUUGUACAAUAUGUUCAUUGUUAACUAUCGUGUGCAGUAUAGAAAUUACAAAUUUAAACAGUUCACCUUAAAUUUUCGUAAAAUGUAUCUACAAAGAAUUAAAACCAUUGCAAAAACCAAGUUAAACUUAAUAUUAUGCCAUUUACAAGUUACAACAAUCACAUUCAAACCUUCAUAACUCAAUUCAUUUAGCAAGUUACAGUAACUGGUCCUGGUGUAUGCAUGUACUCAAGCCAUUUAAAAGAUUAUUCUGUUUGGAAAAACUUCUUCAAAAAAACUGUUUCCACUAAAGGUUCCACAUGGCAGUUUACGAGUAAUGAACAAAAUGGGCAUCUAGCUUCAACUUCUAGGUUUACCCUUGAAAAAAUUUCAUCAAGUUAUACCACAUGGAGUUGUAAAUACCAUUUCCGGAUAAAUGCCGGUGUAUAUAUUUAUCAGCAUAUAUCCGGAAACUGUAUUUACAACUCCAUUACAUACUCCGCAACAUAACAUCUUGAUUUUUACACAAAUGCACGAUUGUUGAUCUUGAUGAUUGAAAUAUUAAUAAAAUGAACAAUA